CAAGUCGAACGCUUACGAGGGUUUCGGCCCUUGUGGGAGUGGCGCACGGGUGAGUAGCGCGAGGGAACCUGCCCCUUUGUGGGGGAUAACCGAGGGAAACUUCGGCUAAUACCGCAUGCGCCCGGGAAACCGGGGAAAGAUUUAUCGCAGAGGGAGGGGCCCGCGUCGGAUUAGCUGGUUGGUGGGGUAACGGCCUACCAAGGCGAUGAUCCGUAGCUGGUCUGAGAGGAUGAUCAGCCACACUGGGACUGAGACACGGCCCAGACUCCUACGGGAGGCAGCAGUGGGGAAUAUUGGACAAUGGGCGCAAGCCUGAUCCAGCAAUGCCGCGUGAGUGAUGAAGGCCUUAGGGUUGUAAAGCUCUUUCGGCGGGGACGAUGAUGACGGUACCCGCAGAAGAAGCCCCGGCUAACUUCGUGCCAGCAGCCGCGGUAAUACGAAGGGGGCGAGCGUUGUUCGGAUUUACUGGGCGUAAAGGGCGCGUAGGCGGCUCUUCAAGUCAGGCGUGAAAGCCCCGGGCUCAACCUGGGAACAGCGCUUGGGACUGGAGGGCUCGAGUUCGGGAGAGGAGAGUGGAAUUCCCAGUGUAGAGGUGAAAUUCGUAGAUAUUGGGAAGAACACCGGUGGCGA
rnacentral:rRNA from 1 species